rnacentral:lncRNA from 1 species
CAAUUUUUUAUCUGUUAUAUAUAUGAUACAAGCUCUGUAUAUAACCUCCUCUAGUGGUGUCCUACUCCCAAUAGUAGAUACAAACAAUAUAAAAUCAAGUCGUUCAUGUAAUACAUUCAAUUUUGGUGUAAAAACAUAUGAGACAAAUGAAUGUGAUGCACCAGUAUCAAUCAAAAUAUUUACAAGAUGAUUACAGAUAGUGUACGUACCCUGUAUCACGUCUGUGUUGGCUUUUGCAUCUUACUGAGUGAGGUUGUAAGCUCUGCCCUAGAUAGGAAGUAUGGCCUGUUUCUGAUUCAUCGAGAACUCUCUCAUGUAGUUCUGGGCACUCCCAUAUAUACAGCAAGUAUUGUUGAGGCGAUAGCAGGGUCAGUCCUCAUGAUCAUUGUCAUAGUGCUGACAAGUCCUACCGCAUCUUUUUACCGAAAUAUGAGGAUGAGCCUGAAUAACUGGUGUAGGUCUCUAAGGUGCAAUGGGUGCCGAUCUGCGGUGUGAAAUCAAGGGCCUAAGGUUCCCCACUGCUGGAGAAAAAAGUUCAUCUCCACUAGCUGUGCUUUGGCCAGAAUGGCUGAGUAAGUGCUGAGUUCGAACAAAUAUAGCUACUGUCUAAUCUUAUGACAGAGGCUCCACUCGAACUUCCUUGCCUUUCUGCCUUCAUCCAUCAUGAUCUCAGGGGAAUACCAGUCUAACUUUAAGAACUUUCGGACAUUCUCUGACACAAUCAUAUCACCCCUGGACUAGAUGUGCACUCCAUUUUUUUCAGAUGUCGGAGAUGCUCUAGGAGAUACUCUCCAUUGAAGGCCAUCAAAAACUGUUCCCAAAUGACUGGAACGGGCAAGGUGACUUACUUGAGUUGCCACCAGGGACCUGCCACUCCCACCAUCAUGUAGGUGACAAGUAUAACUCUCUAUUCGAAAACCACCCCGAGAGUCGUAAAAACCUUCUCUAUCUCACAUAACCAAUACUCAGCUUAUUCAAAGGAGGAUGCCCCUACAAAAGUAGAUGAUUUUAGUCUUUUAUACCUCUCAAUGUAGCUUGGGUCCAUCAUGGGUGGAACUGAGUCUCGUGGAAGAGGGACUCAAUUGUACUGGGGAGGGACUGAAUGACCCUAUGGUGGUGCUGAAUUAUAUGGUGAAGGCACCAAAUUGUACUAUGGUGGUGUCGGGUGAUGCAGUGGGGGCACCGGAUUAUACUGUAAUGGUGCUAGAUGGUAUUGUAGAAGAGCAAGAUUGUACCGGGGUGGUUCACGAUCCUUCCGCUGCAGGGGUGGCUUAAACUGUGGCAGCGAGAGAGGGUCAGGUAGCUCCCUCCUUUCCUUCCGGGCCUGUUAGGCAACAAUGAGUCUCUCCAGCAUUUCAAAUAGUUGAUCAAUAUCCUCUCGAAGCGAACCCUCUCAGGCUGCUCAGUUUAAUGGGGGUCGUCCUCUCUUAAUCUAUCUGUACCUGUACUUCACAAUGAAUAGUUGAGUGAUAAUUCAUUUUUUUGGUAUUUUCUUAGGUCUUUGUGUAAGGAAUGGCUCCGAGGAACUUGGCUCUAAUACCAACUGUAAAGGUCCAGAACCUUGGAUAAAAUAACAUCAUAAAUUAAAUACGGAAGCGAGAUAAUUGAGUUAGGGUUUACAUUUCUUACAUAAUAAUUUAAAAUAUCCAACAGGGCUACGAGAAUAUCCCUUCUGAAAGAACAAAUGAAAACCAAAGAAAUAAACAAGAGACAAAUCACUAAGCAAUCCAAGGACGACCUUCACUAGUUCUUGAAGGGAGUUUAGGUGGUGAACUAUUCACAACUUUCUCGUUGAUUGGGAUCUAGAUCUUGGUCCUCUUGAUAUGAAAUAGUUAAUGAAGGGGUGAGCUACACUAGCUUAAUAAGAAUAUCACACUAAUCACGGAUAUAGAAAAUUAAAAAUUGAUAAAAAUCAGAAAAACAACCAAUGGAACCCCUUAAUUUAAUAUAAAUUCAUUUACUAUAAAGAAAGCCAUUUAUUCCAUUUUGUGUAAUAAGUCUUUCCCAAUAACUUAAGAAAACUCAUAUUCAUACACUAU